UUUAUCAAUUUUAUGCAGUAGAAAUAUCAACUUGGACUCCCAAAUGUCUUUUCCAAUAGGGCAUGAGCAAACUAAAAAAAAAUUAUCGACAUGAAGAGUGACUAUUUGUUGAGUUUACUACUUGGGGAGGUAGGAUACAUACAUUUUUCAGAGCGUCCUCUGUAAGUAACAUAACUUUAUUUGAUGUUAAAUAAUAUUUUCCUUCUGAGAGUUGUGUUAUUUUGUCACUAGAUGACACCCCUCUCCACACCUUUGUUUACAAACUGAUGUAAAUAAAAAAUGCUCAUGCCUCAAUAUGAUGUAAUUUAUGACGUCAGUGACAUCGACCUACAUGUACUGUUUAAUUAAAAAGAAUAGCCACUAGGCCGCUCUCUAUCCAAUCAAAACCUGACACGAUAUCAAAUUCUAAACAUUAAGAGGAAGUCCAAAUUCAGUCAAAAAUUAUAAUUACUCCGUGGCAUCAUUUUCUUGUGAUAUAAACUUUGAAUUUACCUUUGAUUUUUCAUCAUUUCCUUAUGUUUUCAAUCAGAAUUAUCGUUUGUAAUCCUAUGGGGUUUUCCGCGAUACUAGCGCUAUUCAUCUACAGACUAGUCAUGUCGGAUGUUAAUUAUUUCCUAUUCGGGACUAAUUAUGUCCUCUCAUAUGGCUGAGAGCCUCUGAGAGAUGUGGUAUAAUUUCGGGAUAUUAAGGGGGUCCUUGAUGUUCAGGGAAGCAGCGGCAGAAGAAUUUAACCUGCUUCUGUGCACAAAAGCUCGCCUACACAGCCUGUGGGUCGGGAUGUAUAUUAAAAGGUGUCCUUGGUACUCAGAAACGUGUUGGCAGUAAAUUUGAACUACAUGCCAAACACAUACUACUGUGUUGUGUUUUAAAAAAGAUCAUUAAUGAAUAUCAAAGUAUUUUUCUGCAAAAGAUCACUCAUUAGUUUACCUAUAUUUCAUGUAUAAUACAUCAACAAUACCUAUUUAUUAUAUUAUCAUUUAAAUUGAAUUAAAAUAUGCAAUCGUA
rnacentral:lncRNA from 1 species